rnacentral:rRNA from 1 species
CAUGCANGUCGAGCGGUAGCACAGAGAGCUUGCUCUCGGGUGACGAGCGGCGGACGGGUGAGUAAUGUCUGGGAAACUGCCUGAUGGAGGGGGAUAACUACUGGAAACGGUAGCUAAUACCGCAUAACGUCGCAAGACCAAAGUGGGGGACCUUCGGGCCUCAUGCCAUCAGAUGUGCCCAGAUGGGAUUAGCUAGUAGGUGGGGUAAUGGCUCACCUAGGCGACGAUCCCUAGCUGGUCUGAGAGGAUGACCAGCCACACUGGAACUGAGACACGGUCCAGACUCCUACGGGAGGCAGCAGUGGGGAAUAUUGCACAAUGGGCGCAAGCCUGAUGCAGCCAUGCCGCGUGUAUGAAGAAGGCCUUCGGGUUGUAAAGUACUUUCAGCGAGGAGGAAGGCGUUAAGGUUAAUAACCUUGGCGAUUGACGUUACUCGCAGAAGAAGCACCGGCUAACUCCGUGCCAGCAGCCGCGGUAAUACGGAGGGUGCAAGCGUUAAUCGGAAUUACUGGGCGUAAAGCGCACGCAGGCGGUCUGUCAAGUCGGAUGUGAAAUCCCCGGGCUCAACCUGGGAACUGCAUUCGAAACUGGCAGGCUAGAGUCUUGUAGAGGGGGGUAGAAUUCCAGGUGUAGCGGUGAAAUGCGUAAGAUCUGGAGGAAUACCGGUGGCGAANGCGGCCCCCUGGACAAAGACUGACGCUCAGGUGCGAAAGCGUGGGGAGCAACCAGGAUUAGAUACCCUGGUAGUCCACGCCGUAAACGAUGUCGACUUGGAGGUUGUGCCCUUGAGGCGUGGCUUCCGGAGCUAACGCGUUAAGUCGACCGCCUGGGGAGUACGGCCGCAAGGUUAAAACUCAAAUGAAUUGACGGGGGCCCGCACAAGCGGUGGAGCAUGUGGUUUAAUUCGAUGCAACGCGAAGAACCUUACCUACUCUUGACAUCCAGAGAACUUAGCAGAGAUGCUUUGGUGCCUUCGGGAACUCUGAGACAGGUGCUGCAUGGCUGUCGUCAGCUCGUGUUGUGAAAUGUUGGGUUAAGUCCCGCAACGAGCGCAACCCUUAUCCUUUGUUGCCAGCGGUCCGGCCGGGAACUCAAAGGAGACUGCCAGUGAUAAACUGGAGGAAGGUGGGGAUGACGUCAAGUCAUCAUGGCCCUUACGAGUAGGGCUACACACGUGCUACAAUGGCAUAUACAAAGAGAAGCGACCUCGCGAGAGCAAGCGGACCUCAUAAAGUAUGUCGUAGUCCGGAUUGGAGUCUGCAACUCGACUCCAUGAAGUCGGAAUCGCUAGUAAUCGUAGAUCAGAAUGCUACGGUGAAUACGUUCCCGGGCCUUGUACACACCGCCCGUCACACCAUGGGAGUGGGUGCAAAAGAAGUAGGUAGCUUAACCUU